GAUGAACGCUGGCGGCGUGCCUAACACAUGCAAGUCGUACGAAAAAGAAAUUUUUAGUGGCAAACGGGUGAGUAACGCGUGAGAAUUUACUCUUAUGGUAGAGGAUAACUUUUAGAAAUAUUAGCUAAAACUCUAUAUGCUUUUAAUAAGUGAAAAAAGAAAUUUGCCUAAGAAAAAGCUCGCGUCUGAUUAGCUAGUUGGUAGGGUAAAGGCCUACCAAGGCGAUGAUCAGUAGCUGGUCUGAGAGGAUGAUCAGCCACACUGGAACUGAGACACGGUCCAGACUCCUACGGGAGGCAGCAGUGAGGAAUUUUCUGCAAUGGGCGAAAGCCUGUCAGAGCAACGCCGCGUGAGGGAAGAAGGCCUUCGGGUUGUAAACCUCAUUUCUCAAGGAGGAAGAUCUGACGUUACUUGAGGAAUAAGCAUCGGCUAACCCUGUGCCAGCCGCCGCAGUAAUAC
rnacentral:rRNA from 1 species